rnacentral:rRNA from 1 species
AGUGAACGCUGGCGGCGGGCCUAAUACAUGCAAGUCGAACGGAGUGGCGCACGGGUGAGUAAUGUAUAGCUAAUCUGCCCUACACUAGAGGACAACAGGUGGAAACGGCUGCUAAUACUCUAUAGUGUAGGAUGAGGCGAUUUUGUUUCAGCUAGUUGGUGAGGUAGUGGCUCACCAAGGGUAUGACGCAUAACUGGUCUGAGAGGAUGAUCAGUCACACUCGAACUGAGACACGGUGCAGAAUCCUACGGGAGGCAGCAGUAGGGCAUAUUCCUCAAUGGGGGAAAUCCUGAAGCGGCAACGCCGCGUGGAGGAUGACACUUUUCGGAGCGUAAACUCCUUUUGUUAGGGAAGCGGUACCUAACGAAUAAGCACCGGCUAACUCCGUGCCAGCCGCCGCGGUUAUUC